UAUUCCUAUCUGAUGGUUUUCAUUGAGCAGCUGUUCGAUGCUACAAAUUUCUACUGGGAAAAAACAUCUAGCAGAAAUUUAAAUGCUCUCAUUUACCAACCUCCCAAAAUUGUGCUCGCUUUCACGCACUCUCUCUCUCUCUCUCUUCUGCUGGCAAAUAAAGCACGCUAACGACCUCCAGUAACAAUUUGUGCAAAUUUGCAAAAAUUUCAAACAUGCUUAACGAUGAUGUUUGUUUCGGAAGGAGGAGACAUAGAAAGUUCCAAGACUAAGCGUGAGGACAAAACGACGGUGCAGCAAAUUUGACACAAAAAAUAUUGAAAUUUUUUGUGUAUAUCUUUACGUAAAUGUAAAAAAUUCUUGCUAUAGCCAGAAAAAUUCCAAAAUUGUCAUUUAAGUUUUGGCAGCGAAAGUGAAGGUUCAUCAUAAAAAAGCAAAGUGAGUGUUAAUAGUAACAAAUAAAUAGUGAUUUUAAAAUGUCAUCUGUCCAAGCUGCGAGAAAAAAGUCUGCAAUUUAAAGUCCGAUUCAUUAAUGAAAAAUAUAACCUGUCGAAGAGACUGCCCUGAAAUAAAUACUGAAAUGGUGUCAGAAUUGGCUUGGAGGUGAUGACUAUCCAAACUUUAUGCGAGUUAUGAUAAAAAAAAUUAGUUAUGUGAUUACUUGGCGAUGGAGUUCACGUGGAGCGGAAUAAAGAACAAACUAAGCGUCCAAAAAUGUUUCUUUAUUACAGUAUUAAAGAAAUUGUGCACACCAAAUUGCCACAAGUUGACGACCUUCGUAUCAACUCUUGGCUUCAACAGCAUAUUUUCCAUGCCAAGGAUCGAGUAGAUAGGCGCCAAAGUCAACGGGAACUUCCCAUGACUUUCAGUUUUUAUAUCUAUAAAUAUGUAUAUAUCUUUUUUUACAAGAAGUAUUUU
rnacentral:sRNA from 1 species